rnacentral:rRNA from 1 species
UACAGAGGGGGCUAGCGUUAUUCGGAAUUAUUGGGCGUAAAGGGCGCGUAGGCGGCCAUGCGUGUCUUCCGUGAAAUCCCUCGGCUUAACUGAGGACGUGCGGAAGAAACUGCAAGGCUCGAGUCCGGGAGAGGGGGGUGGAAUUCCCAGUGUAGCGGUGAAAUGCGUAGAUAUUGGGAGGAACACCGGUGGCGAAAGCGCUCUACUGGACCGCAACUGACACUCAGGGACGAAAGCUAGGGGAGCGAAUGGG